rnacentral:snRNA from 1 species
GAUUCCUUCCAACGUGAAACC